CCUGUUGAACAUAUGCAUUUCUACAGCAAAAAGGAGCCUGACGUGGCAAAGCCAAUGUCCCCAGAAAAUUUCAGAACUAAUUAUUGAUUAAAAAAUUUUUUUUUCACAAUCAUUCAAUAUUUCUUCUGUUUGUUAUUUGUAAGGCAGCUUAUGUCACCAUAACUCUCAAAUUAAAGCUGCUGUCAAUCUUUACAGGCAUCCAGGAUUCGCACAACGAUCUUUUCUGAGCAGCUGAUCAUGGUCUUCUGUAAAGAUGAUGUUGAUGAACAGAGUGUGGAGGCUGCCAGACAGCACUUUGAACAGUGGCUAGAGAAGAAGCCAAAUCUGGUUGGACCUGAGGGUAAUUAGAGCGAUCCUCCUGAAGUUGACACCAAGGAACUUACCAAACAACAUAAAUAACACUGAAUAAUAUUUGCAUUCAGACCUAGCACUCAUGUUUUUCUCGCUUUUAUCAUAUACAUGCUGUAUCAUUCUUUUAAAUUGAUUGUUUAAAAAUCAGUUCCAACAACACACAACAUGUUUUUAUUCUGAGGACAAAGAUAAAUCAUAAUAUAUGAUACCACUCUGUACAAUUACGGGGCCUGCAGUCAAUAUGAAACAGUAUCAUUGGCCCAUUUAAUUCACUGUGUUACGCUUCUAUCGACUCACACAGAAAACCCAUUCAAAAUUUGAUACA